rnacentral:rRNA from 1 species
UACGGGGGGAGCAAGCGUUGUUCGGAUUUACUGGGCGUAAAGAGCGCGCAGGCGGUCGUCCAAGUCGCGUGUGAAAGCCCCCGGCUCAACUGGGGAGGGUCACGCGAUACUGAUCGACUCGAAGGCAGGAGAGGGUAGUGGAAUUCCCGGUGUAGUGGUGAAAUGCGUAGAUAUCGGGAGGAACACCAGUGGCGAAGGCGACUACCUGGCCUGUUCUUGACGCUGAGGCGCGAAAGCUAGGGGAGCAAACGGG